rnacentral:rRNA from 1 species
CUGCCUACGGGGGGCAGCAGUGAGGAAUAUUGGUCAAUGGCCGUAAGGCUGAACCAGCCAAGUAGCGUGAGGGAAGACUGCCCUAUGGGUUGUAAACCUCUUUUAUCCGGGGACAAAGGAGUCCACGUGUGGAUGUUUGCAGGUACCGGAAGAAUAAGGAUCGGCUAAUUCCGUGCCAGCAGCCGCGGUAAUACGGAAGGUCCGGGCGUUAUCCGGAUUUACUGGGUUUAAAGGGAGCGUAGGCCGGUCUUUAAGCGUG